CGGGUGAGUAACACGUAUGCAACCUGCCUGCCACAGCCGGAUAAUCGGGAGAAAUUCCGUCUAAUACGGCAUAAUGCAUCGACGGGACAUCCUGUUGGUGCCAAAGGUUGAUUCCGGUGGCGGAUGGGCAUGCGUCGCAUUAGUUAGUUGGCGGUGUAACGGACCACCAAGACGACGAUGCGUAGGGGUUCUGAGAGGAAGGUCCCCCACACUGGUACUGAGACACGGACCAGACUCCUACGGAAGGCAGCAG
rnacentral:rRNA from 1 species